AAUUUUCCUGGUAUCCAUGGCGCUGUGGAACCACUCCGACCCAUCCCGAACUCGGUUGUGAAACGCAGCAGCGGCAAAAAUAGUUGGGGGGUAGCCCCCUGCAAAAAUAGCUCGACGCCAGGUAAA
rnacentral:rRNA from 1 species